CUUGUAUAUAAAUAAAACAUAAACCCAGUUAAUAUUAUGUCCAAUACCUACAAGAACUAUACAAAUAAUACUCAUUUGGCAUGACCAUAUUAGCUAAGAGAGCAAACCUAGUUCUGCCAGACUUGUUUAUUUUCGGAAAAUAACAAGGAAAACUAUGGGAUGGAAAUAUUCAACAAACCCCCAACAGAAAAUUAGAGGCAAAGCCAACAACUGCAUUACAUCCCACGAUGGUUUGACCGUGGACUUCAUCACCUAUAUCAGCUAGCUUGUCUGCUUCUGCCAAACUUCUGCAAUUUGUCAGUUUGCUCAUAAGCAAAUUCCGAAAUCUCCAAGUAUGAAAGUAUUUUUUUAAUCAACUGGACUGAACAAUCUGCUGAAAAUCAUUGACUGUUUAGCCUCACAUAAAUGAAAAUCAUAAUGGAUAACGUACACAAGACCUUAGCAAGCCACAAAUUUCAACCCAAUCAAGUUGGGAAGUAAACUUGCAGAUUAUCAAUGUAGUGUAGAUUCAAUACAUAUCAGCAGCUGAGCAAGUAUGAUAACCCUUUUCACCGAGUUCAUCAUUACCAUCUAAUUGGAGCAAUAUUCCUUUUACAAAAAGUUAUCCUCCCUAGCAUCUUUCAGUCAGCUGGUUACUUGAUAAGAAUUUUAACUAAAAUAUCCUCACAUACAAAACCUGCACGUUGAAGGGUAUACUAACACGGUAUAAUAUUAUAUACAAUCGAGUUAUUUAUUAUUUCUAAAGUGCUCAUACAGUUUAAAGUGUGUUUUUUUUUUUGUGUAUAUAUAUAUAUAUAUAUAUAUAUAUAUAUAUAUAUAUAUAUGUUUGAAAUUAUUGUACUUUAUGUAAUAGUUUAAAAUUUAAAGUUAAUGUACUUCACAUAAUUAAAAUUAUCAUAUUAAUAAAUGUCCAAAAGUUCAUCUAAUAAUUUUAUGGCAAGACUACAUAUUUUAUUAAAAUAGGGAAUUUAUACUUCCACAAACAAAAUUGAUAAUUCCACAAGGUAUUUCUCACAUGAAUAGUAAACGGGUCCCACACUCAUGUGAGAGGAAGCUUGUGGAAAUAUAAAAUUUUACUUGUGAAAAUAUUAAGUAUAAAUGUUGAAAAAAGUUCAAAGGGUUAAAGUGGAAAAACACUCAUCUAGUUGUUUCAGAAAAAUGAGUUAUCCAACAAAUUUCAGUUGGUAUUUUGUUUUGCGACAAAACCUCUACUUUAUUCAGCUCAUUUAGAAAUUUUUAAUUAUUCAGACAAUUUCCUUAAGUUUACAAGUAUUCUUAUAUUGAAAAACCCAGUCAGCUGGGUCUGACCCAUAUACAAAUUGUAUACUACCCAAAACACACGUACAAAGCCCCCUAUAGACAAGAGAUUCACUAAAACCAAAACUCCACUGUACAGACCCUUCCUAGCGCUAGCGCUAUUAAGUAAGAAGAAAUUAUUAGAUAACAUUCACCUUCAUGAUCAUCUUCCUGGACAGCCUUGUGACUCUAUCUUUUCAAGUUUUCUUAUCAUUUCCCAUGUUUACCUUCUUCCCCCAAACCAUACUAAUCUCAAUAUGCCCCUGGCUUGUACGUUUGUAUAUAUAUGGACAGGCUACUAUUUGCAUACCAAAUAAUUAAUUUUACACUAUUUGGAAUGGAGAAGCAUUUUUAGGGACAACAUAAUCAACAUUAGUAUAUACAUUUUAAAAAACAACUGGCUUGGUUAAGCAAAAUUCUCCCUCCUACCACUCGUAACCUCCUUCCUCACCCUGUCCACAUUUUUCCCGCUUCUAAUAAGAAAGGUAAGAGAUGUUCUUUUUUUAUAAUAAAAACAAAAUAUUCGAAACCACUUCUUUUAACAAUUCAAUGUCAUCUACUCACCAAAACUAGAAACUCAUAUCACAUAAGACUUGACCACCUUGCUAAUAGGAUUUGCCUGAAUACCGUCCUGAAUACCGUCUGUGACACUAGCUGUAACUUUUUCAAUGUGUUUGAAAGCCAGAUGGACAUAAUAACACAGACACAAACUCAAUUUAACACCAUUUGGUGUAGCAUGGCAAUUAAGGAGAUUAGACUAGAUAAACAUGAGAGAGAAUAAGUUGAGACAUUUCAAACAUCCUCAACUUGCUCUUUUUAUUCAAAGAGGCGACUAACUAGACAUGAGCAAUGUCUUCGAUGCAUCACACAUAACUUGGUUAAUGAAUACAGAGAAAUGAAAGACAUACCAGACAAGAUUAUUAUUUACCACUCUGAUUAAUAUAUGUCUUAAAAGAUUAUAACAAAAUGAAAUCACAAUAGUAUGACAACCAACUAAAGUGCAACAGGCCUACCUCUUUCGCAAGUAGCAGAUCCACUGUACAUGAGUAUACAUUAAACUUCACACAUUCUGGACAGGUGGCCUGUGAGGCUUUGGAGCUGAAAUAAAUAAAAUAUAAUUGUCAGAAACAUUAAUAACAGAGAAGAUGAUUUUAGGAAAUUAUGUUUAUUUGAAAAGGGGAAGAAGUUUCUAUUUAACAAAACAUGAUUACAUAACAAAUAGUGCAGCUUCAAUGACACUCCACCUAUUAUGCAGGUAUUCUUUUAUUGAUUGUAGAACAAAAAGCAGAAUUUGGUUUUACGGUAGUGCCAUUCUAAUGAAGAACAAUUUUAUGCUGCGCUUUCGAAUUGCAACUCUAAUGUUCUCUUUAUAAAUUCAUUCUUUCUAUCUUCUCAUUUCAUUUUCAAGAAAAUAAAGGAAAAUAUAUUUAAGCAAUUUCUUGAUUGCUAGCAAAUGAAUUAUGACGAAAUUACCUACCAUAAGGGUUUCCUUGCGGGUUAAAUGUUUUUUUUAUCAUUGUACUUUAGGUCAACUUACAAAUGACUAACUAUACUUAUUUUUCUUACAGCCAACUCACUAAAUUAUAAUUUUCUUACAAAAAAUUAAAAUUCCGUCUUGGGCGUUAAAAAUUUAAUGGAAUAUUGGCAUUGCAAUGUGGCGUGGCUUAAUUUAUUACUCCCUCCGUCCCAGGAUAAGUCUUUAUUACUAUUUUGGGUAGUCUCAUAUUAAAUGUCCACUUUCCUUUAAUAACUAAACUUUUACACAUUUUUUUCUAUUAUGUCCGUAGCAUUAAAUAUCUCAUAUUUUUUUUUAUUCUAAUUCUCUCUCCAUAUUAUUAUGGGCAAUUUUGUCAUUUUAUUCAUCUUCUUAAUAUACGUGAAAAGUCCACCAUGACUUUUAUCCUGGGACGGAGGAAGUAUAAUUUAAAGCAUUCAAUAUAGGUGGCAAUUUUGCCCCAAUUUAAGUAGCAACCCACUUUGAAUAUAAUCUACCCAAAUCCCGCCCACUAACAAGAUACUAUGUAAUUUAUUUAGGUUAUCAAAAUCAAGCAGAAGAGCUCAAAAAUUAUUAAUUUGUAUUCAAAGUCUAGAAUGUUACCUUAGAUCUAGAUCAAGAUCUAAAUCUCCAUAGGGAUGAACAAAACCAACUCAAAGAAAGAAGAGAAAUAUAUUUCUUUUUUGACUACUGCAUUGAUGAAACCUAUUUCCCAAUCUUCUUCAAUUUCUCAACUCAACUCAACCCAAUUGAAAAAUUCAACCCUGUCAUGACGUUACAAAAAUCCAAGCUUUUUGCCGGCGAACUUUCUCUAAUCACGUUUAGAAAGAGGAAGAUUAGGUUUCCUUACAAUUUCUCUUAAAUUUAUGUCAAAAUUUAUUUAAUUUCUUCCAUAAACUUGCUCAUUUUAUUUUACCACUCGAGUGAGAGAGAGAGAGAGAGAGAGCAAAAACAAAAGCACUGCAAGAACAAUAAGGCCCAUUUUUUCACGUCGUCGUUGUGGUUUUUGGGGUGUCAAUUUUUGGUACUUUCAAUUGAUAGGUAUGGUAGUGCGUUAUAUUUCUAGGGUUUUAUCUAUUGGAUUUGAUUGAAUAAUUAGGGGCAGCGAUGCUAGUGGUACACGGGUGGGAGUGCAAGGAUCGAUAGUGGUGAUACAAGGUUGCUGAUGAUGUUGUUUCGUAAGAAAAAGAUGGACAAUACUUUCAAUUGUUUAAUUUGUUUAGAAUGAUCUAAUAUAUUUUAACUUUUAGUUUUUUUAAGCAUAUUUCUAUUUUUAAUAGAUUUUAAAAUUUUCAAAAAAUAAUAAUUAUUUAAUAUAAAAAAAUCAUUUAUCCAUGGACUUUAUUUUCUCCCUUUAAUCUAGCUAAUUUAAAUGUUAAAAUCUAAUUAAAAAAUCAUUCUUACUACACAUAAUUCAUUAAUUUUUCAAGUCAGUAAGAAUUUAUUUUUUUUGAAAAGUAUUUUUAAUUUUAGCAUAUUUUUAUUUUUUUUUAUAAUUUCCUAAUUAAUUAUAUUUGUUAUUAAUUAAUUAAAAAUCAUUUUUAUUAAUUACAAAAAUAAGUAAAAAUUCCUCUUUUUUUGCUAAAUUUUCUUAUUUUAUUUUGUUUUUUAAUAUUUUCUUUCAUUUUCCUCUUAAUUUUUUUUUUCAUUUCCACUCAAAAAGUGACUCCAUUAUACAUGAGAGUUCUAUGUCAAUUUUCUCUCUCUUAUGUGGAAUCAGAUGUGGCAAACUCGUUUAAAGUAACAUGAUUUAACCGAUUUUGUGACAUUUUGUUAGUACCAAGUACAUUAAAGUUUUUGUUGACUAUAAGAAAUAAAAAUAUAGUUAGGCAUUUAUAAGUUGAGCUAAAGUAUAGUGAUGAAAAAAGCUGAAAAAAACAUCAAGAAGUUUCAUAACAAAUGCUUCUGAAUCCAUUAUUCCUCCUGUGCAUUUGAAUCAUUUCUUGUAGAACUCCAACACUACCAUGAGAAUUUAAAAUUAAAAUAAUAAAUAAACACAAUUCUUUCAAUUGAAGCUGCAUUAAAAUUUUGGUGAAUAGAUUCUCAAAAGGUUAAAUGAAAACUUACAACUUUCACAGGGAUAUGCUAGGAUCUAAUUUAAAUUUGAUUGAGACAUGUGGUAGAUAACAUGAAAUAACUCAGGUCAAAUCCCGAGUUCGGAACAAAUCUCGGGUCAAAUCUCAAGUCUGAAUCGAAUUCAUCCAAAUAAAAUUUUAAACCACUAGUCCAAUAGUAUCUUCUUGGGUCAUCUUAGCCCACUACAAGCUCACCCAAAGGACAUGACUUGAAGGUACUAUUGGUAGUAACUUAUUUCCUUAUAUGCAGACAAAUUUGUCCCUAUCUUUCGACGUUGGACUGAAGUGUUACAAACUCCACCACUUAAAUUUCUGACGUCCCCGUCAGAACCGAUUACACACACGGUCUACAAAUCUUUGCCUUUCUAGCCAUUGUGGGAUAAUACCGGCUGGCUGCGUGCCCCCACCUCCGGACCUUCUUCUCUCCAUUGUGGGAUAAUACCACCAGCCUUCAAAGUUGAAAUUAAUUUCACUACUCUACUCGUCUGUGAACCCUUAAAUACAAACUCUGGAGACUUCACAUCUCCAAAUAUAACAUUUUUCGCCUGACAAUCGAUAAUGGCCUGAUGUUUAUCCAACCAGUUCAUGCUAAGAAUCACGUCAAAAUCGUGCAUACAUAUUGAAAGAAGAUUAGUCCUACGAAUCUUAUCUCCAAAACUGAUCAGACACCCUCGAUAUAAAUUAAAAAUAACAACAGAAGUCCCCUUCGGGGUAACAAUAGAUAUAACAGAAUCUAAGGACUGAGAUGACACUACAAGGUGCUGAACAAAAGUCUGAACAACAACUGAAUGAGAAGAACUAAUAUCGAAUAAAAUAUAAGUCUCACGACUGCCAACUAAAAGAGUACCUGAAACAGUAUCUGGCGCACUUACCGCCUGGUUAUAUGUCAAAGCAAACACCCGACCACCCUGACGCUGACCUUUAUUGCCACCAUUAUCACUGCCUCCACCAUUACCACAAUGGUGGAGUUAAUUUCAGCUUUGAAGGUUGGUUGUAAGACCCCGAAUUUUAUGAAAUAAAAGUAUUCAAUUUUUCUUAUAAUUACAAUUCAGUAAAUGGUUAAAUUGAUAAAAAGUUAAAGUUAAGGGUGAUAUAUGAAAUUUUUUCAAAAAUACGUAAGUGGCUAUAAAAUAUUCAUUGUUGUCGAAGAAUAUUCGUUUGGUCGUAGAAUAUUCUUUUUGUCGGGAAUAUCCGUACGACGGCGCAGCCUUGUGUGGCCCCAUAACGGAAAGCGAUUGGAUGAAGAAAACGACAAAUAUAAGUUGUUUAUAAAUGACGGCGCAGUUGUUACAUUUAAUACUGUUAAAAUACUCGGUGGUUAAAACACAGUAGCACAUGGUAUUGCACCAAUUAUUGAUUCUUACGUAAGAAGGCACUACUCAAUAAUGGUUACAGUAAUUACUGUUCAGUAUUUUAUUUUAUUGAUUCAAUAAUUGCUGCGUUGAUAUUUUAUAUUGCUGUUGUUUCAAUAAUUGUCAUUACACAGUAUUUUUCAUUAUCGAAGCAAUAAUUCAUAUUAUCUGAAUAAUAUUAUUAGAUAACAUUAUUGGCAAUGUCUAGAAAGUUCUGUCUAAGGAGAGGUUUGGUCACCUAAUUGCGCGCCAGUAAGGAGAAAUUCUUAUUGGAAAGCCCCCUCUUUCCUGGGAACUGCCUGGUUGUCAAUAUUGUGAUUCUGUAAUAUUAUUUGUGAAUAAUUAAUUAUUGAUUCAUAUGAUGAGGAAAAUAUUGAUUUUAUGUGGAUAUAGAUGGAGAAAAUUUUUAAUGUGACAAUUGUUGAAAAUUGAAAUUUUAUCUUUUUCUGAUAAAAUAAUUCAUAUAUAUAUAUAUAUUAUUAUAUUUUAAUAAUAUAAUAAUGGUGAUAUUUUUACAACGAAUGUGGGAUAUAUGAGUAUACGAGGAGGAAGAGUAUUUUUGUUGCAAUAAAUGUUUAAAACAUGUUAAACAUGUCGGUGGACCCCAUUUCUUGACUGAAAUUUGAUUAUAGCCUGUAAAAUCGCCCGUUUGUGGAUUUCGGUCAAUUUCUGUUUGGAAUUUGGAAAAACUUUCUUCUGCAAAGUUGUAGAGAAUUGAAUUUCCUAUAAAAACUCGCGAGAUUCGAAUUUUCUGACAAAAGGGCUAUUUAUUAUGAAUUAUUGAAGUUCCGAAGCUCCGAAAUAAUUGAUUUUUGGAAGUUUAAAUUAUUUUAAAUAAUAAAAACGUUUUUAACAAGGUAGGUGUGCCCACUAGCAUGGAAAAAGAGCUGAGAUCAGAUUGUCCAAGGUGUGCGUGAAGAUUAUAUAUAUAUAUAUAUAUAUAUAUAUAUAUAUUAAUAUUUUAAUAAAUUUUCUGCUUUGGUGUUCUAAGCAAUUUCCUAUAAAUAGGGUGCUUAGGUUAUAAUUGAAAAUCACACCAGAAACUGAAGUUUUCUCUCUCUAUAUUAUCGAGCGUAUUCUUGUGAGUAUUUUGAGUAUACUUUGAGUAUUGCUAUACGGUGCAAGUUCGUUCAGCGUUAUUCCAGUCAGAAGUACUGCUCUUUUGAGGUAAGGGAUAAUAAGGGAUUUUAAGGGUUAUUAUUUCGAAAUUCUUCUGAACCUUCAAAAAUUCUGGAAAAAUUUGAAAUGAUAAUUUGAUGAGUUUUGUUGAUUGUGUCCAAAAAUGGCGAUUUUUGGAUGUAUAGAUUAAGAGUUAUGAAUUUUAUGAGGAAAGACUAUUUUAAAAGAAAACCCUUAUAACUCCUUGUGGUUAAUUCCAAAAUUGAUGAAAUUUUUAUUGGGAGUACAUCUAUAUAAUAUCAGUAUAUCGUGUAAAUUUCAGAAUUUUUGGAUAAAAGUACAAUUUAUGAUAAAUGUUUAAAUAUUCGGUGGUUUUGGCCAUGUGAAAAAUAGUAAAUGACUUUUAAAAAUUCUGAGAAAAAUAUAUGUUCAAUAUAGGACUAUAUUCUGCUAAAUCCCAGAAAAGAAAUAUUUUUGGAACUGAUUUGUUAUUUUUCAUGAAAAUGGACUAGUUAUGAGUAAAUGAAUUAAAUAUGUUAUGUGAGGUAAGAAAAUUAGAAAAUAGGAUUUUAUAGCUUGAGAAUCCUACAUGAGGUAUAUGCAGAUUUUUGAUGAGGAUUUUGGUUAUUGGUGAUGAAAUCUUAUGAGUUUGGCAUUUUAGAAUGAUUAAAUGCAUUAUUUAGUAAAGUGUAAACAAUUAAAAUAAAUUGUUUAUAAGCUUAAAAAAAAUAUUAUUCUUUCAAUAUCAUUAUACCGAAAUAUUGGUAUGGAUUUUAUUGUGGAAUUUCUACCUUUUUGAGUCGGGUUUACUAUUCAUGAGAUACUAUUCACGAGUUACUAUUCAUGAGUUACUAUUCACGAAGUUACUAUUCAUGAGUUACUAUUCAUGACAAAAUUGGUUUCUUUUUCUAACCAAAUUAUAGUUGAUUUAUGAAUAUUACUCUGGAGAUUAAAACUAUAUAUUGAUUAUAUUGAUUUUAUUAUCAUAUAUAACAUUUUUAUAACCCUGAUGUUGAAAUUCUCUUUCACUGGAGUGUAAAGAUGGGUAGAUUAUUGGUAUGAUCAUGACUAGGGUUCUCUUUGGCCAGUAGUGAAAAGUUGAAUUGUGACUGGUAUGAUCAUGACCAUUGAAUUUAUAAUUGAAUAUCUUUAGCUUAAGUGCAAAGGUGAAUUGAUCAACAUGGUUAUAAUUAUUGUUUAUAUAAAUUCUGAAAUGAUUAUAUAUUUCUUUGAGAUAUUAAUAUAUUUGGCCUGUAAUGCAAAUAUGAACUGUUGAGGAAUAUCUUUGGCCUGUAGUGCAAAGAUGAAUUGUUGAUGAAUAUCUUUGGGUCGUAGUGCAAAGAUGACCUGUUGUUGAAUAUCUUUGGCCUGUAGUGCAAAGAUGAACUGUUGAUGAAUAUCUUUGGCCUGUAGUGCAAAGAUGAAUUGUUGAUGAAUAUCUUUGGCUCGUAGUGCAAAGAUGACCUGUUGUUGAAUAUCUUUGGCCUGUAGUGCAAAGAUGAACUGUUGAUGAAUAUCUUUGGCCCGUAGUGCAAAGAUGAAUUUAUUAGUAUGAUUAUGAACAGGAACUGUGAUUUGGUAUAACCAUGAUCUUUGAUAUUUCAGGUAAAGACAAGUGAUGAAAAUUAUCUUCGUCCUGAAUGAGAAAAGGAAUUUAGAACAACAAUUACGAUUAUGAGUUAUACAUGUGAUUGUGGACAGGAAUUGUUGAUUGAUGUUACAGGGAUAAAACAUUGUUGGUGGACUUUUAACAUGGAGAAGAUAAUAGACUUUAUGGUCUAUUUGACUCUUCUAAUGGAUUGCUCGUUCCGCUGCAACUAUGGUUGAAAAUUUUUAUCAUCUACCAUAUGUUCUAAAUCUCUGAUUUAUUAUUGAUGAAGGCUAUUGAUAAUUUAAUUAUCUUUAGUCAUGAUAUUCUUUACUGAGCUAGUUGUGCUCACCCUUUUGCUUCACAAUUCCUUUCAGGUAAUAAGAGUGUAGCUGGGUCGAGCGGGGGUAACAGGGGAAUAGAACGGUAUUCAUCAUUUAGUAGUUAUAUUUGGUGAAUCAAAUAGGGUGAGGCGAACCCAAAGUUGGAAGGGUGUUUUGCCACUAUCAUACAAGAUGUCUAAUGACAUACAACCUCGUGUCAUCAUAAGACAGGGUUGUGCUCAUCCACUUGCUGAGUAUAUUUACGAGCACUACCUAUAUAAUCUUGGUGUUUGUUUGAAGUAUAAUUCUCAAUUAGAGACAGUGGAGAUAAUGAUAUGUCAAGAGAAGACUCACCAUUGGGAAGAAUAUGAUAGUAAUCUUCUCGUUUUUCUUUGGGGUCUAUUGGGUCAACCAAGGAUAAUUCUGUGGCCAUAUGAUAUCUAUCAUAACCUAGACGCAUGGCCUCCCAUGUACGAAGGUUUCCUUGAGCACUUCCCAAAGAUUCUAAUUUCUAAAACAGUUUUCGACUAUACCUUUAUGUAAGGUGUCAUUAUGAGGUGUUGUCCACGGUUGGGACAUGAGUCACAGUUGAUAUAUAUUUGUAUCCAAAUUCACAGCAUAUGUGUUGUUGUAUUUUGCACGACAAUUGUUGUAAUAAAGUUGUAGUUGUUUUCUGUACCAUGUAUUUGGCGACUCAGAAUGGGUCGGAUGGAAUGGACCUAUUUUGGGGUCGUUACACUGGUGGUAUUAUCCCACAAUGGAGAGAAGAAGGUCCAGAGGUGGGGACACGAAGCCAGCUGGUAUUAUCCCACAUUGGCUAGAGAGGCAAAGAUAUGUGGACCUUGUGUGUGAUCGAUUCUGAUGGGGACGUCAGAAAUUUAAGUUGGAGAGUUUGUAACAACCCGGUCCCACAUCGAAAGAUAAGAAAAAAUUUGUCUGUAUAUAAGGAAAUAAGUUACUACCAAUUGUACCUUUAAGACAUGAUGUAAGACCCCAACUUUUUGAAUAAAGAUGAAUUCUCUAUAAUUAUCAUUUUUGAAUAUUAUGGAAUAAAUUUAAUAUAAUGUUAUAGUUGUGGGUAGUAUUUAUAAAUUCUACAAAGUAUGCAAGUUGUUAUAUUAUAUUCGAUUGGUCGGGGAAUAUUCNNNNNNNNNNNNNNNNNNNNNNNNNNNNNNNNNNNNNNNNNNNNNNNNNNNNNNNNNNNNNNNNNNNNNNNNNNNNNNNNNNNNNNNNNNNNNNNNNNNNNNNNNNNNNNNNNNNNNNNNNNNNNNNNNNNNNNNNNNNNNNNNNNNNNNNNNNNNNNNNNNNNNNNNNNNNNNNNNNNNNNNNNNNNNNNNNNNNNNNNNNNNNNNNNNNNNNNNNNNNNNNCUUUGAGCGUAGAACAUAGUAUAAAUUUUCUUCAAGAAAAUUCUCACCCUCUCAGUCGAAAUAUUCUUCUUUUACGGUAAGGGAUAUUAUUCUUUUGUAUUCAUGAAGAGAACUUCAGUUAUUCCAUUCCUUAUUAUUCUGUUGGAAUAACCUGUAUAAGCGGAAUACCCUAUACUUGGUGACAUUCUUCUAUUUUAUCUGUCUUUAUUAUUCCGUUGGAACAUCAUGUCUGUGCUUUACGCCGGACCUAGUUCCGUCUUUAUUAUUCUGUUGGAAUAUCUUGUCUGUGUGUUUUACACCGGACCUGGUUCCGUCUUUAUUAUUAUUCUGUUGGAACAUCCUGUCUGUGUGUUUUACACCGGACCUGGUUCCGUCUUUAUUAUUCUGUUGAAACAUUCUGUCGGUGCAAAUUUUGCCUGACCUGGUUCCGUUAUUAUUAUUCUGUUGGAAUAACCUGUCUAUACGAAUGCAUGGUGAUUUCUUUUGUUAUUUCAUUCUUUAUUAUACUCAGUUGGUUAAAGUUUUGACUUCUAUACUCCAUGAAAUUAGUAGAAUAUCCUUGAUAUUUACGCUUCAUCCAGUAUCUUUUCAUGAAAAUAUUCUUCUGAUCAUUCUUGAAUUUUACUCUACAAAGCAGUAUCAUGUUGACAAUUUGGACAUUAUUAGUUCCUGGAUAAAUUAAUUCUUGAACUUGUUUUAUUGAAUUCUUAUAUCAUUGUCAUCAUCCUCAUGUUUAUAUUAUGUUGAAAGUCAUCUGUGNNNNNNNNNNNNNNNNNNNNNNNNNNNNNNNNNNNNNNNNNNNNNNNNNNNNNNNNNNNNNNNNNNNNNNNNNNNNNNNNNNNNNNNNNNNNNNNNNNNNNNNNNNNNNNNNNNNNNNNNNNNNNNNNNNNNNNNNNNNNNNNNNNNNNNNNNNNNNNNNNNNNNNNNNNNNNNNNNNNNNNNNNNNNNNNNNNNNNNNNNNNNNNNNNNNNNNNNNNNNNNNNNNNNNNNNNNNNNNNNNNNNNNNNNNNNNNNNNNNNNNNNNNNNNNNNNNNNNNNNNNNNNNNNNNNNNNNNNNNNNNNNNNNNNNNNNNNNNNNNNNNNNNNNNNNNNNNNNNNNNNNNNNNNNNNNNNNNNNNNNNNNNNNNNNNNNNNNUGUGAAAUAGUGUGUUAAUAAUUGUAAUGAGGACUCCUUUUGAGUUUGUAUAAUCUCUAGUAGACAAUAAUUGUAUUCAAACUCACAGUUAUGUUUUGUCGUAUUGUACACGACAGUUGUAUUAGUAAGUUGUAUUUGAAUUUUGUACCAUAUAUCUGACGACCCAAGAUGGGUGAUGUAUACCUAAUUUUGGGGGCGUCACACAUGACCUUUUGGGUGAGCAUGUGGUGGGCUAAGAUGACCCAAGAAGAUACUAUUGAGCCAGUGGUUUAAGGUUUUAUUUGGAUAGAUUUGAUUCGAUUCGGACUAUUCAGACGUUGGAAGACAUGUUGAGGUCUUGUGCACUUGAAUGAUCAGGUAAUUGGGAUGAUUACUUGAGCCUAGUUGAGUUUUCUUAUAAUAACAGAUGGCAUGCAAGUAUUGGGAUGGCUCUGUUUGAGACGUUGAAUGGUAGGAAGUGUCAAGCACCAUCUUGUUGGGAUGAGGUUGGUGAGAAGGUCAUAGAAGGGUCUGAGUCAGUUCAAAUCACUACAGAGAAGGUAGCAGUGGCUAAGGAGAAAUUGAGGUCGGCUCGAUCAAGGCAGAAGAGUUAUGUUGAUAAGCAUAGAAAGACCUUAGAGUUAGAAUCUGGUGAACAUGUGUUUCUCAAAGUUUUUUCUUGGAAGGGCAUUCGACGAUUUGGGAAAGAAAACUUAGUAUGCAUUAUAUUGGCUCAUUUGAGAUUUUGGAGAGAGUUGGUGAGGUUGCAUAUCGGUUAGCUUUGCCUCCACAGCUAGCCCAUGUGCACAAUAUGUUCCAUGUGUCGGUGUUGAGGAGCUAUCAUUAUCAUCCGUUGCAUGUGAUGCAAUAUCCGUUCGAUAAGAUUCGGGGUGAUCUUACUUGUGAGGAGCAUGCCUAGGCGAUUUUUGGAUCGUCAAGAGCGGAUUAUGAGGAGGAAGACUAUUCCGUUUGUUAAAGUUUUGUGGAGGAACCAUUCAGAGCGGGAAAUUACUUGGGAGAUAGAGGAGUUUAUUCGAGCAGAGUAUCUGUAUCUAUUUGAAAAAUAGGUAUGUUCCAUUCUUUUGAUUACGGGGACAGAAUCCUUUUUAAGGAAGAGGUGAUGUAAUACCCGGAAAAAAAAACCAACAUCUAAAUCUAUAUUUUAAAUAUUUUAUAAGUUCUAUUUUGUGCUUAACCUCUCUUUCUAUUCCGGAAAGAGGGUGUUACCUAACAUCCUUCAAUAAUUCUUCCUAAUUGAUCAGAAAAUGAUGAUUAGGAAUCCACACCCAUGAAGCAGACGUGGUGUAAAAGAAACAAUAAUCCAGGAUAGAGAGAAGUGAAGCCAACUCCUACACCUCCUUAUCAUUCAGAUUAUGGAAGAAGUCAUAAUUCCAAGAUGCAGAGUUGUUAGUGGGUGAGGUAAAAGAAAACGGAAAUUAUGAAGAGUCCAAAGAUAGAACAGCCUAUGAUAAGCAUCAUAUAAGACANNNNNNNNNNNNNNNNNNNNNNNNNNNNNNNNNNNNNNNNNNNNNNNNNNNNNNNNNNNNNNNNNNNNNNNNNNNNNNNNNNNNNNNNNNNNNNNNNNNNAUUGGACAACAUGCUAUGGAGCAGAUCAGCAGAUGGAAGAACAAAAUUUGAUGCUAGCAAAUCAAAUUGAACUUAGGAUAGAAACAUUUUAAUGGCUUGCAAAAGCAUACCACUCACGCUGAAGAAGUUAAGGAAGCACUAGAGCAGACAGUUGAGAUGAACCGCCCCAACCCCACAGAAAAAGCAAAGAAAAAAAGUUGAAUUACCAGAAAUAAUUAGUAACUAAGGGAGGCUUACAGAAUAGACACUUCAAGAUUGUCCAUAGCCAGCUUUGCCUGAUACAAUAGAAAGCAGUAAAUAUUAAAAGAUAUAUGAAGUACCUCCAGAAUUCAGGAGAAAAGCUUCAAACUUGAUUUAUUGAGAUAUUAUAAGCAAGGAAAGCUAGGAUUUGAGAUAUGAAGUGUAAAGAAGCAAACAUGAUAUAUUGAAUAAGAGGAUACUCGAAAAUGGUCAAGCCAAAACAGCAUUGCUCAGCUUGACUCUACCAGAACAGCACCUCACAAACAGAACUCAAUACACCAAUAUUUCAACCCAGAUCUUGUGUUAAAACCUAAAUCACAAUAAACACAUGUAUCAAGAAACACUUGCAUCGGAUAUCUUAAUUUAUAAACUGGAAAAUUUCCAAAAAAAAAGCUAAUACAUUAUGACUGUUUAAUUAUUACCUUCUCCAAAAAGUAAAUAAGUAAAGAAAAAAAUUUAGUUCAUCAAGUAUACCAAAUUAUCUUUAUAAGUACAACAUUAAAUCAAUGUAGUUUUGAAAAAAAUGAUCAAACUAAGAAGCUACAUAGUUUGUAGUGAUUGACCAUGUUUUUUGUACACGGUCCAUGGGAAAAGGGCUUGCUGAAUUGAGCUACCCAACAAUGAAACCUUUAGGAAAAGGAAAAAAAAACAUAUCUUGUUCUCUUCGGCAGCAAAAUGCAAAUCUGAAUACAAUAUUUGGUAGCAUAAUCCUUGAAAAGAUAACAAAUACCCUGAUAGGCAUAACGAGUUAGACAUCCCAUGCAGCACUGUUGAUACAAAAUUAGGUUAAAAGUUAAGAAUUUACUAGAGAAAGCCCUAGGAUUAUCCUCGCAGAUCUUCUUAGUUCAUUAAGAGGUCCGUUAAAGAUACCUAUUGAAAAUCAAGUUUCAUAUACACAACAAUUUCCUCAUUCCCACAAGCAAGAAAAGGGAAAAUGUAAUUUCCCAUUGGGAAAUCCCCCAUGAGCACAUCCCACUGUCCACACUAACGCAACAAUAUGAGCACAAUCAAUGAAAGCAUAUAAUGCCAUUUCUGUAGCAGGACAUAUUUCAAAAUUUAAAAGUAAACGGUGUAUAUAAUAUUCCAAAUAGAUAUUUGAUUUCAAAACAACAUAUGGGACUUCCCCAUUUUCAAGAACUAACAACUAAGCAACAAUUGCGAGUAAGGAAAUUAAGACUUGGAAAGUCGUUAAAACUCGUGAAAAAUCACAAGGUAUAGAAGAUUUAAGUUUUUUACCCAACUGCAGCUGAGCUAUCUAUGUAACCGGAUGAGUGGAUGAUGAUCUCCUAAAGAUUUCCUCAAACACAGUGCGUGCAUCACAGCAUCAACUAAUUUGCGCCAACCCUCACCACAUACUCAAUUCCAUUGAAACCUUGCGAGUUCCGUUUGAUAAUUUCUACUACCAGUAAAUUUCACAAAUAAUAAAUGCAUGGAUGUAAAUAUAUGUAAUAAUGAACAGAGCGAACACCUUUUUUUCUCCACAGCCUC
rnacentral:lncRNA from 1 species